rnacentral:rRNA from 1 species
UACGUAGGGGGCGAGCGUUGUUCGGAUUUACUGGGCGUAAAGAGCGCGUAGGUGGUUCGAUAAGUCGGAGGUGAAAGCCCUCGGCUCAACCGAGGAUCCGCGUCCGAUACUGUUGGACUUGAGUGCGGGAGAGGAGAGCGGAAUUCCCAGUGUAGCGGUGAAAUGCGUAGAUACUGGGAGGAACACCGGUGGCGAAGGCGGCUCUCUGGACCGUUACUGACACUGAGGCGCGAAAGCUAGGGGAGCAAACGGG